rfam:Bacillaceae bacterium MTCC 8252 Contig51, whole genome shotgun sequence.
CGGGCAGUAUCUGUAUAGAACUGCACUUCAAUGUAGCUAAGCCAAUAGGACAACUAAAUAAGCAAACAUUCUGCCUUGAUCUGUAGUAGACAGGGACAGAGGG